ACAGAAAGAAGCUUGCUUCUUUGCUGACGAGUGGCGGACGGGUGAGUAAUGUCUGGGAAACUGCCCGAUGGAGGGGGAUAACUACUGGAAACGGUAGCUAAUACCGCAUAAUGUCGCAAGACCAAAGAGGGGGACCUUCGGGCCUCUUGCCAUCGGAUGUGCCCAGAUGGGAUUAGCUAGUAGGCGGGGUAAUGGCCCACCUAGGCGACGAUCUCUAGCUGGUCUGAGAGGAUGACCAGCCACACUGGAACUGAGACACGGUCCAGACUCCUACGGGAGGCAGCAGUGGGGAAUAUUGCACAAUGGGCGCAAGCCUGAUGCAGCCAUGCCGCGUGUAUGAAGAAGGCCUUCGGGUUGUAAAGUACUUUCAGCGGGGAGGAAGGGAGUAAAGUUAAUACCUUUGCUCAUUGACGUUACCCGCAGAAGAAGCACCGGCUAACUCCGUGCCAGCAGCCGCGGUAAUACGGAGGGUGCAAGCGUUAAUCGGAAUUACUGGGCGUAAAGCGCACGCAGGCGGUUUGUUAAGUCAGAUGUGAAAUCCCCGGGCUCAACCUGGGAACUGCAUCUGAUACUGGCAAGCUUGAGUCUCGUAGAGGGGGGUAGAAUUCCAGGUGUAGCGGUGAAAUGCGUAGAGAUCUGGAGGAAUACCGGUGGCGAAGGCGGCCCCCUGGACGAAGACUGACGCUCAGGUGCGAAAGCGUGGGGAGCAAACAGGAUUAGAUACCCUG
rnacentral:rRNA from 1 species